rnacentral:rRNA from 1 species
CGGAUGACCUGUGGCUGGGGGUGAAAGGCCAAUCAAACCGGGAGAUAGCUGGUUCUCCCCGAAAGCUAUUUAGGUAGCGCCUCGUGAACUCAUCUCCGGGGGUAGAGCACUGUUUCGGCUAGGGGGCCAUCCCGGCUUACCAACCCGAUGCAAACUGCGAAUACCGGAGAAUGUUAUCACGGGAGACACACGGCGGGUGCUAACGUCCGUCGUGAAGAGGGAAACAACCCAGACCGCCAGCUAAGGUCCCAAAGUCAUGGUUAAGUGGGAAACGAUGUGGGAAGGCCCAGACAGCCAGGAUGUUGGCUUAGAAGCAGCCAUCAUUUAAAGAAAGCGUAAUAGCUCACUGGUCGAGUCGGCCUGCGCGGAAGAUGUAACGGGGCUAAACCAUGCACCGAAGCUGCGGCAGCGACACUCUGUGUUGUUGGGUAGGGGAGCGUUCUGUAAGCCUGCGAAGGUGUGCUGUGAGGCAUGCUGGAGGUAUCAGAAGUGCGAAUGCUGACAUAAGUAACGAUAAAGCGGGUGAAAAGCCCGCUCGCCGGAAGACCAAGGGUUCCUGUCCAACGUUAAUCGGGGCAGG